rnacentral:tRNA from 1 species
CAGGGGAUAGUUUAGGUAGAAUCUCAGCUUUGGGAGCUGAGGGUAAGAGUUUGAUUCUCUUUCCCUUGA